AGUGAACGCUGGCGGUAGGCCUAACACAUGCAAGUCGAACGGCAGCACAGUAAGAGCUUGCUCUUACGGGUGGCGAGUGGCGGACGGGUGAGGAAUACAUCGGAAUCUACUUUUUCGUGGGGGAUAACGUAGGGAAACUUACGCUAAUACCGCAUACGACCUACGGGUGAAAGCAGGGGAUCUUCGGACCUUGCGCGAUUGAAUGAGCCGAUGUCGGAUUAGCUAGUUGGCGGGGUAAAGGCCCACCAAGGCGACGAUCCGUAGCUGGUCUGAGAGGAUGAUCAGCCACACUGGAACUGAGACACGGUCCAGACUCCUACGGGAGGCAGCAGUGGGGAAUAUUGGACAAUGGGCGCAAGCCUGAUCCAGCCAUACCGCGUGGGUGAAGAGGGCCCUCGGGUUGUAAAGCCCUUUUGUUGGGAAAGAAAAGCAGCAGGUUAAUACCCCGCUGUUCUGACGGUACCCAAAGAAUAAGCACCGGCUAACUUCGUG
rnacentral:rRNA from 1 species